AGUCAAUAGUACUUAUAGGACUUAAUUAGACCUCAUAGCGGCUCAACUGCCUUUUGUCUCAGGAUUUGUUUAAAUAAAUUAUUAAUUGUGAAUUCUCGAAACCUUUACGAUUUAAUAAAUUUCUAUUAAAUAAGAUUUUAUUUAUUUUAGAAGUGAAACUCUCCGAGUUGGGUUAUCUAGUUCUAUUACAUUAAGGGAGUAAGUCUCUUUUUUUCUACUGUCUUUAAACCCUAGAUAAAAAUUAGCUUUUACAUUAAGCAAAUUAAUUGUUUAUUACAAAUAAUUUAAUUUUAGAACUUAACAUAGACAUAAUUUAGCAACCUUUAUAUUAAAUCAUAAGUUUUUACAAUUACAAUAUUAUUAUUUAUAAUCUAUUUAUUUAAGGAACUCGAAGAGUAGUUGAAUGUUUAACAAAAACUUUUCUUUUUGUUUAUUAGAGGGUAAGGCCUGCCCAGUGAACUUUAAACGGCUGCGGUAUACUGACCGUGCUAAGGUAGCAUAGUCAUUUGGUUUUUAAUUGAAAUCUGGAAUGAACGGCCUAACAACUACUAUAUGUCUGAGCUAAAUCAAGCAAUUUGGGCUUUAAGUAAAAACACUUUAAUAAGAGAGAGGGACGAUAAGACCCUAGAAGCUUUAUAACUACAUAGUUAUUGAUUUUUUUAUAAAAUAUUAGCUUAAACCUUAUUUAACUGGGGCGGCGGUAAUACUCACACUAAUAUUUUAUUAAACGGCAGGUCCAAAGGUCCUUUAUAUGAGGAAAGAUAGGUUAAGUUACUCUAGGGGUAACAGCGCAAUGUUUAUGGAAAGUUCUUAUUUAUAUAAACGAUUACGACCUCGAUGUUGAAUUAAGAUAUCCUUAUAGAGCAUCACCUAUUAGCGAGAGUUUGUUCAACUUUUAAAUUUUUACAUGAUUUGAGUUCAAAUCGGUUUAAGCCAGAUUGGUUUCUAUCUUCUCAGUAAAAUAAAUCAAUUUAGUACGAAAGGACCAAUUGAUUUUUA
rnacentral:rRNA from 1 species